rnacentral:tRNA from 1 species
UCGACGGCUGGGGUGUUGGUGGCCGGGUGCGGCUGUUGUCCGUACCGCGCCGGAUCGACGUCGGGGCCGCCGGU